rnacentral:rRNA from 1 species
GAUGAACGCUGGCGGCGUGCCUAGUACAUGCAAGUCGAGCGAACAGACGAGGAGCUUGCUCCUCUGACGUUAGCGGCGGACGGGUGAGUAACACGUGGAUAACCUACCUAUAAGACUGGGAUAACUUCGGGAAACCGGAGCUAAUACCGGAUAAUAUAUUGAACCGCAUGGUUCAAUAGUGAAAGACGGGUUUGCUGUCACUUAUAGAUGGAUCCGCGCCGGAUUAGCUAGUUGGUAAGGUAACGGCUUACCAAGGCGACGAUGCGUAGCCGACCUGAGAGGGUGAUCGGCCACACUGGAACUGAGACACGGUCCAGACUCCUACGGGAGGCAGCAGUAGGGAAUCUUCCGCAAUGGGCGAAAGCCUGACGGAGCAACGCCGCGUGAGUGAUGAAGGUCUUCGGAUCGUAAAACUCUGUUAUUAGGGAAGAACAAAUGUGUAAGUAACUAUGCACGUCUUGACGGUACCUAAUCAGAAAGCCACGGCUAACUACGUG